UUCACGGAGAGUUUGAUCCUGGCUCAGGACGAACGCUGGCGGCGUGCUUAACACAUGCAAGUCGAACGAUGAAGCCUUUCGGGGUGGAUUAGUGGCGAACGGGUGAGUAACACGUGGGCAAUCUGCCCUUCACUCUGGGACAAGCCCUGGAAACGGGGUCUAAUACCGGAUAACACUCCUGCCUGCAUGGGUGGGGGUUGAAAGCUCCGGCGGUGAAGGA
rnacentral:rRNA from 1 species